UAGAGUCUUCUUUCCCCAAAGCUUCCUCCCCUCCCCCACUGCUUUCAGAGUAGAUUAACUAAUUACUUCCAAUUAAAGCCGGUAGAUCUCUGUACCUCCUGGGCUUCAACACUGCCCCUAGGAGUCUCCCUAGGCUGCCUGGGUCUGAAAGGGACCUGGCCACUUAGGGGGAUCAGUGAAUCAGUUAAGUAAUGCAGGGGGCCACAAAGGAAGCCCACUGGGUCAUGUGCUUGACGGGGAGGGCUGCAGACAAGCCUGGCCCUCUGGCUGCAGCAUGGAAGUGUGGCCCUGCUUCAGGCCCUAAUGGGCCCGGGAAGGUCAGGAGCUGCCGUCUUUGGAGGAAUGGUGUUUGUGUUGGCAUCCAUGGGCCCUGUAGCCCUGCCAACUCUCACAGCAUGUGACACUGUCAGGAGACUGGAGGUGUGAGGCAGAAGUCAGCUGGAGAGGCUCCUGCGGCCGGCCGGCCGCCUGCUUCCAGGUUCCUGGGCUCCGUUGCCUUCUGUGGUUGCUGGUUGUUCUCUGUCCCCUGCACUCCUUAUCUUCCUUGGGGUUAAGUUUUGCUUUCUCCAACUGGCUUGCAUCGAGAUCAGCGACAGCUAUCCUGGGCCUCCUGGCCACCAUCAAUAUGGAGAGCACUGUGAGGAGAUAGGUCAUCAGCUCUGGCUAUCCUGAGACUUGAAACAACUUCUCAAGCUCCAUCCUUAAGUCCCUUCUCCUGCCUCAUGGCUUCAGUCCCGUUUUCAGGCAGCUUGAGAUUGCCUGUGUCAGGAAGUGUAAACAAGGCCCUUGUCAUUACAGGCACACCCCUUGGACUUGAGCCAACUCCAACUUCAGCAAAGGAGAGCAACUGUAUUAGCAGCUUCCUGCCCAGCCCAGGGCUCUCACUGGGAGAGGCCCCAUGACCUCUGCUUGAAAGGCCAAGGCUUUCUAAAGAGGCAGGCGCUGCUUCACUCCUUGGAUGCACUUGCCCUAAAGGUUGACCGAUAGCUGCUGAUGCAAGCGCCAGAGAUCUUGUCCUGAGGUGAUGUGCUCGGAGGCUGCAGAGAACCCGUCUGUCUGUCUAGGUCCGUCUUUAAGAUUAAGGAAACUUUCCCCAGAAGUGUUCCCAGAACUUGCUUCUGGGUCUCAUCGGCCAAAGUUCAGCCACACACUCAUUCCUGUAACUCCUAGUCGGGGUAACGUAGGUUCUUUGCCUAGCAGGUAUCAUGGUGCACAUCUGGAAUCCCAGAAUUCAGGAGGCAGAGGAAAGAGGAUUGCUAGCUCAAGGCCAGCCUGGGCUACAGCGAGACGCCUCCUAAAACAAAAACAAGCCAGGUGGUGGAGAGGUAGCUUGGUGGGUAAAUUGCUGGCCUUGCAACUGGUGAAGACUCGUGCAUGAUCCUCAGAAACCACACAAAAAGCCAUUAUCAUCCCAGCACUGGAGAUGGGGACAUGCAAGCCCUCUGGUUUUCUGGCUAGUCAGUCUACCUGAAUCAGCGGCAAGCCCCACAUCCCAAUAAUGUCCCCAAACACAAGGAAGACGGUGUCUGAGGGACAACACCUGAGGCUGACUUGUAUCCUCUACACGCAUGCACGUAUGCUUGCACAUAUACAUGCAUUCACAGGACAUGCACUCACACAUGUACAUGCAGCAUACACGCACACAUGCAUGCACAAGUGUGUGCACACACUCAAACUAACCAAAACCGAUGCUUUUAACUUAUGAAAACCGGUACAUUGUCAUGCAUCUUACAGGUGUCUUCCUCUGAUCUCUGAUUUUAUCUUUUGAUUUUUAUUUAUAAUGUUUUUCCUUGUAAUUUCUUUGUGGGUGCAUGUAUUAAUUACUUCUGUUAUGACUUCUGUUUGUCCUGUGUCUAGGAAACUUGAUACCCGGGGAUCACACAAUCAUUUUCACAAACAUUUUUAGAAACGUGUGUGUGUGUGUGUGUGUGUGUGUGUGUGUGUGUGUCUGAGUGUGUGUGUGUGUGAGUGUGUGUGUGAGUGAGUGAGAGUAUGUGAGUGUGUGUGUGUGUGAGUGUGAGUGAGUGUGUGUGAGUGAGUGAGUGUGUGAGUGAGUGAGAGUAUGUGAGUGUGUGUGUGUGAGUGUGUGUGAGUGAGUGAGUGUGUGUGAGUGUGUGAGUGAGUGAGAGUAUGUGAGUGUGUGUGUGAGUGUGUGUGAGUGAGUGAGUGUGUGUGAGUGUGUGUGUGUGAGUGUGUGUAUGAGUGAGUGUGUGUGAGUAUGUGUGUGAGUGAGUGAGAGUAUGUGAGUGUGUGUGUGAGUGAGUGUGUGUGAGUGAGUGUGUGAGUGAGUGAGAGUAUGUGAGUGUGUGUGUGAGUGUGUGUGAGUGAGUGAGUGUGUGUGAGUGAGUGUGUGUGUGAGUGUGUAUGUGUGAGUGAGUGAGAGUGUGUGUGUGUGUGUGUGUGCGCGCGCACUUGCCUGUCUGUAUGUACACUGUGUGCAUGCUAUACCUUUGCAGGCCCAAAGAGGGUGCUGGGUUAUCUGGAAUUGGGGUUGUGAGUUCUUAGGAGCUUCCAUGUGGGUGCUGGGAACUGAGCCUCAGCACAGAGCAGCUGGUGCUCUUUUUUUUUUUUUUUAAGAUUUAUUUAUUUAUUAUAUGUAAGUACACUGUAGCUGUCUUCAGACACACCAGAAGAGGGCAUCAGAUCUCAUUACGGAUGGUUGUGAGCCACCAUGUGGUUGCUGGGAUUUGAACUCCAGACCUUUGGAAGAGCAGUCUGCGCUCCUAACUGCUGAGCCAUCUCACCAGCCCCCAGCUGGUGCUCUUAACUGCUGAGCCAGAUCCCUUGACUUGUGUAUAAGUUGAUAUUUUUGUUUUUUUGGUUUUUUUUUUUUUUGUACUUUUAUGGUUUUAUUUUUCCAGUGUUUUCUUCAGUUCUUCGAUCCUGAUGGAAUUUAUUUCCAUGCUAAGAGUGAGGUGAUCCUGUGCGGACUCUGGGCUCCAGCCAUUUUAAUUACUCUUGCUGUGCAGUGUUCUGCAGAAUGUCUGCCAGACCUACCCUUCCGUGCUUAGUGUGCUUUGCUUUUCUCUGGAAUUUUUCUGUCUAUUCUUUUAUAUAUGUCCCCCCACCCCCAAUUAAAAUUGUCAUCAUCCCAACAGUGCAGAUGGUGAGUGAAUCUGACUGCUUCUGCCUUCAGAAUGCAUCCACAGCCCUCGAGGGUCACCAUCGCCAUGUGAUCAGGCCUGCAUCCCAUCUCAGCUGGAUCUGACAGUGGCUCGGAACCAUCCCCGCCUUGCUCAGCUUCCCCUCAUCCUCAGUAGCCAGAGAUUUUGCUCAACUGUACUCCAGACCAUGCCAUGCUUAGCUCAGAUAGAGACCCUCAUCUCCUCCAGGAAAAAAAAAGCCAGCACAUGGCUGUUCAUGAAACCCUACCUAACCAACCCCUAUUGCUCCUCUGACCUCCCCAUCCUACUCCUUGGUUCGUUGUCCAGCUUGCCCCUUGAACCUUCUUGUUUCUUGGGUGUUCCAGGUGAGAGACCGUGAUGAACACCUGUACCAGUUGUCCCCUUUGCCUGGACAAUUCACCCAGACAUCUACAAGUGGGGCUCCUUUGUCCUGUCAUUUGUCCUUGAGCAGGGACUUCUCUGAACCUCCUGCCUAGCAACCUUUCACGUUCCAUUUCUGGUUCACUCCAUAGUACCUACCGCUGUCUAUCUUCAGACAGUGUCUCCUGUCCUCUGGUUCUCGGCUAUGUGCAUUGUGUAAAUACUGGAGAGCUAUCGCCACUGGCUAUAAGUGUGAGUUGAAUGUAGACGUGAACUUGGGACAUUUGCUGAGCCUGCUGCACCCUGUUUGUGCUGUUGUUUGUCCAACGUAAAACUAAUUUCUUUCUUUCUUCCUCCCCCCCUGUCCCCCCAUAUUUUAGACAAGAUCUUACCCCAUAGGUCUGGUUGGCCUAGAACUCCCUAUGUAGAUAACCUGGCCUUGAACUCACAGAGAUCCUCAUGCCUUCGCUUCCCGAGUGCUAGGACUAGAGGUGUGUGCUACCAUGCCUGGCUUCCAGUGUGAACUACUGUGUUUCCCUUGUGAAGCAUACGACACAAAGUCACUCAACCUCAGGAGACACUAGGCAGUGCAUACGGUGGAAGGCAAAAAGCAUCACUUUAUUAUUAGCUCUCUUGUGCUUAUUUAUUUCUGAGACAGGAUUUCUCUGUGUAGCUCUGGCUGUCCUGGAACUCACUCUGUAGAUCAGGCUAGCCUCAAACUCCUGAGUGCUAGGAUUAAAGACAUGUGCCACCGGGCUCUGUUUGUUUGUUUGUUUUUUUUUCCUUUGUUUUGUUUUUUAAUAUAUGAAAUAAGGGAAAUAAUAGUAACUGUUCCAUGAGUUUUUGUUAGAAUUAAGUGAACUAAUUCAUACAAAUAAUUGUGAAGCAUCUGGCAUGUAUUAAUCGUUAAAUAAUUGGAAGCUGGUUUAAUCUCCCUUUGUAGUAGAGGGAUCUAAAGCUCGGAGAAUUUAGGAUUCUAACCACAGGUUACAUAGCGAGAGGCAGGGUGAAGGUUGAACUCAGGACUCAUGAUUUACACAGCUGGUUCUGCUAAGUCAAACUCAUACAGUGACCUAAACAAGGCCGUGGGACUCUUCCCUCAGGCGAGAGAGCAGUGCAGCCUCUUGCUGUCUGUUUUGUCUGAAUCCUCCCCACAUUCCAGUCGACUCAUCUGAUGAUCUCGGAACAUCACCAGGCCCGAGAGACUCACUGCCUCCUGUUUCCGUGUCUGGAGUGGAGUGUACGAAUAAUCAUACCAUUUGUCACGACGUAGGACAAGGUGACAGAGCUGAGGUGUAGUGUGGAACAGUUCCUGUAAUUCCGUGGCUCACAAGGCUGAGGCAGGAGGAUUGAGAGUUUAAGACCAGCUUAUGCUACACAGAGAGACCUUCUCUCUCAAAAAAUAACAUAAUCUGGGCAUAGUGGCACACACCUUUAAUCCCAGCAUUUUCAGGAGGCAGAGGCAGGUGGAUCUCUGUGAAUGAGUGGCCAGUCUGGUUUAGAUAAAGAAUUCCAGGCCGGGCAGGGGUACAAAACUGACAUUUAAGAACACAAUCUCAGAUGCCCACUAAGUGUCUACCCUCUUCACUUCCUUUACUAACAUAGUUCAUCACCCCUCCCAGUGUCCCCAGUGGCCGGGCACCCUGUGGCUUCUGAUCCUGCUGACCUCUCUGGUCCCCUGAUAGGCUCUGGAGCUAUCCCCAUGAUGCCUAUCCUUGCUGCUAGGCAGCCUUGACUUGAAUGUGGCCCUUGUCCUACUCUGUAAUGGGACCCUAGAGGAAGGUUGGCUUUGGUAUGGGGGUGGGGGGUGAGGGGCUACAUGUCUGCUGGUCUUCACAGGAACUGUGAGCAUACUACGGAACAGGGCUCAAAAACAAGGAACAUGGCUCAGUUACCACUCUGAACUUGGUUACUGCCCAGUUGCCAGGUUACCAUCCCUGUCCUGAAUCACCACCAGUGUGGUUCCAGAAGGCAAGCCUCAUCUGCAGGGUACUGGAGGGCUAAUAGAAGGCGGAGCAGGCUAGGACUCUAUGGUUUGAAGCUUGCACUUGCUCUCUGUAAUCCUCAACUAGUGAGAAUAAAGAUUACCACCAUG
rnacentral:lncRNA from 1 species